UACGUAGGGUCCGAGCGUUGUCCGGAAUUAUUGGGCGUAAAGAGCUCGUAGGCUGUAUGUCGCGUCUGCUGUGAAAGACCGGGGCUUAACUUCGGUUUUGCAGUGGAUACGGGCAUGCUUGAGGUAGGUAGGGGAGACUGGAAUUCCUGGUGUAGCGGUGAAAUGCGCAGAUAUCAGGAGGAACACCGGUGGCGAAGGCGGGUCUCUGGGCCUUACCUGACGCUGAGGAGCGAAAGCAUGGGUAGCCAACAGGAUUAGAUACCCUGGUA
rnacentral:rRNA from 1 species